rnacentral:rRNA from 1 species
AGUCGACGAGGUGCUUUGCACCUAGUGGCGAACGGGUGAGUAACACGUAUCUAACCUACCUUUUAGUGGGGGAUAACAGUUGGAAACGACUGCUAAUACCGUAUACGACACCAUUAUGGCAUCAGAAGGUGUUAAAAGGCCCGUUUGGGUCGCUAGAAGAUGGGGAUGCGGCGUAUUAGCUAGUAGGUGGGGUAAUUGCCCACCUAGGCAAUGAUACGUAGCCGAACUGAGAGGUUGAUCGGCCACAUUGGGACUGAGAUACGGCCCAGACUCCUACGGGAGGCAGCAGUAGGGAAUUUUUCACAAUGGACGAAAGUCUGAUGAAGCAAUGCCGCGUGAGUGAUGACGGUCUUCGGAUUGUAAAGCUCUGUUGUAAGGGAAGAAUAGGUAAAAGAGGAAAUGCUUUUAUUUUGACGGUACCUUACCAGAAAGCCACGGCUAACUAUGUGCCAGCAGCCGCGGUAAUACAUAGGUGGCAAGCGUUAUCCGGAUUUAUUGGGCGUACAGGGUGCGUAGGCGGUUCGAUAAGUUUGAGGUUAAAUCCCGGGGCUCAACCCCGGUUCGCCUUGAAAACUGUCUUACUAGAAUACAGGAGAGGUAGAUGGAAUUCCAUGUGUAGCGGUGAAAUGCGUAGAUAUAUGGAGGAACACCAGUGGCGUAGGCGGUCUACUGGCCUGUUAUUGACGCUGAGGCACGAAAGCGUGGGGAGCAAAUAGGAUUAGAUACCCUAGUAGUCCACGCCGUAAACGUUGAGUACUAAGUGUCGGCAUUAGUCGGUGCUGCAGCUAACGCAUUAAGUACUCCGCCUGAGUAGUAUGCGCGCAAGCGUGAAACUUAAAGGGAACUGACGGGUACCCGCACAAGUGGUGGCAGCAUGUGGUUUUAUUUCGAAAGCUACGCGAAGAA